rnacentral:rRNA from 1 species
AGCUGAUCACUGGGCGUAAAGCGUGCGCAGGCGGUUUUGUAAGACAGAGGUGAAAUCCCCGGGCUCAACCUGGGAACUGCCUUUGUGACUGCAAGGCUGGAGUGUGGCAGAGGGGGAUGGAAUUCCGCGUGUAGCAGUGAAAUGCGUAGAUAUGCGGAGGAACACCGAUGGCGAAGGCAAUCCCCUGGGCCUGCACUGACGCUCAUGCACGAAAGCGUGGGGAGCAAACA